rnacentral:rRNA from 1 species
UACGUAGGGUGCAAGCGUUAAUCGGAAUUACUGGGCGUAAAGCGUGCGCAGGCGGUUAUGUAAGACAGGUGUGAAAUCCCCGGGCUUAACCUGGGAACUGCAUUUGUGACUGCGUAGCUAGAGUACGGUAGAGGGGGAUGGAAUUCCGCGUGUAGCAGUGAAAUGCGUAGAUAUGCGGAGGAACACCGAUGGCGAAGGCAAUCCCCUGGACCUGUACUGACGCUCAUGCACGAAAGCGUGGGGAGCAAACAGG